AUAAAAUUUUUUCGAAAGAAAAAAAAAAAAUCUGUUAUCAGUUUAAUAUCUGAUACGUCCCCUUACCAUAUAUUAAAUUGAUUUUUGGAGCAGGGAGAUGGAAUAGGGGCUUGCUCCGUCCACUCCACGCAUCGACCUGGUAUUGCAGUACCUCCAGGACCGGUGCACCCCCU
ensembl:snRNA U2 U2 spliceosomal RNA